rnacentral:rRNA from 1 species
AGAGUUUGAUCCUGGCUCAGAUUGAACGCUGGCGGCAGGCUUAACACAUGCAAGUCGAGCGGGGUGAUGUGCUUCGGUACUGAUCCUAGCGGCGGACGGGUGAGUAAUGCUUAGGAAUCUGCCUAUUAGUGGGGGACAACAUUCCGAAAGGAAUGCUAAUACCGCAUACGCCCUACGGGGGAAAGCAGGGGAUCUUCGGACCUUGCGCUAAUAGAUGAGCCUAAGUCGGAUUAGCUAGUUGGUGGGGUAAAGGCCUACCAAGGCGACGAUCUGUAGCGGGUCUGAGAGGAUGAUCCGCCACACUGGGACUGAGACACGGCCCAGACUCCUACGGGAGGCAGCAGUGGGGAAUAUUGGACAAUGGGCGGAAGCCUGAUCCAGCCAUGCCGCGUGUGUGAAGAAGGCCUUUUGGUUGUAAAGCACUUUAAGCGGGGAGGAGGCUCUUGAGGAUAAUACCCUUGAAGAGUGGACGUUACCCGCAGAAUAAGCACCGGCUAACUCUGUGCCAGCAGCCGCGGUAAUACAGAGGGUGCGAGCGUUAAUCGGAUUUACUGGGCGUAAAGCGUGCGUAGGCGGCUGAAUAAGUCGGAUGUGAAAUCCCCGAGCUUAACUUGGGAAUUGCAUACGAUACUGUUUGGCUAGAGUAUGGGAGAGGAUGGUAGAAUUCCAGGUGUAGCGGUGAAAUGCGUAGAGAUCUGGAGGAAUACCGAUGGCGAAGGCAGCCAUCUGGCCUAAUACUGACGCUGAGGUACGAAAGCAUGGGGAGCAAACAGGAUUAGAUACCCUGGUAGUCCAUGCCGUAAACGAUGUCUACUAGCCGUUGGGUCCUUUGAGGACUUAGUGGCGCAGCUAACGCGAUAAGUAGACCGCCUGGGGAGUACGGUCGCAAGACUAAAACUCAAAGGAAUUGACGG